rnacentral:rRNA from 1 species
CCGGUAAACGGCGGCCGUAACUAUAACGGUCCUAAGGUAGCGAAAUUCCUUGUCGGGUAAGUUCCGACCUGCACGAAUGGCGUAAUGAUGGCCAGGCUGUCUCCACCCGAGACUCAGUGAAAUUGAACUCGCUGUGAAGAUGCAGUGUACCCGCGGCAAGACGGAAAGACCCCGUGAACCUUUACUAUAGCUUGACACUGAACAUUGAGCCUUGAUGUGUAGGAUAGGUGGGAGGCUUUGAAGUGUGGACGCCAGUCUGCAUGGAGCCGACCUUGAAAUACCACCCUUUAAUGUUUGAUGUUCUAACGUUGACCCGUAAUCCGGGUUGCGGACAGUGUCUGGUGGGUAGUUUGACUGGGGCGGUCUCCUCCUAAAGAGUAACGGAGGAGCACGAAGGUUGGCUAAUCCUGGUCGGACAUCAGGAGGUUAGUGCAAUGGCAUAAGCCAGCUUGACUGCGAGCGUGACGGCGCGAGCAGGUGCGAAAGCAGGUCAUAGUGAUCCGGUGGUUCUGAAUGGAAGGGCCAUCGCUCAACGGAUAAAAGGUACUCCGGGGAUAACAGGCUGAUACCGCCCAAGAGUUCAUAUCGACGGCGGUGUUUGGCACCUCGAUGUCGGCUCAUCACAUCCUGGGGCUGAAGUAGGUCCCAAGGGUAUGGCUGUUCGCCAUUUAAAGUGGUACGCGAGCUGGGUUUAGAACGUCGUGAGACAGUUCGGUCCCUAUCUGCCGUGGGCGCUGGAGAACUGAGGGGGGCUGCUCCUAGUACGAGAGGACCGGAGUGGACGCAUCACUGGUGUUCGGGUUGUCAUGCCAAUGGCACUGCCCGGUAGCUAAAUGCGGAAGAGAUAAGUGCUGAAAGCAUCUAAGCACGAAACUUGCCCCGAGAUGAGUUCUCCCUGACUCCUUGAGAGUCCUGAAGGAACGUUGAAGACGACGACGUUGAUAGGCCGGGUGUGUAAGCGCAGCGAUGCGUUGAGCUAACCGGUACUAAUGAACCGUGAGGCUUAACCUUACAACGCCGAAGCUGUU